AGUGAACGCUGGCGGUAGGCCUAACACAUGCAAGUCGAACGGCAGCACAGUAAGAGCUUGCUCUUACGGGUGGCGAGUGGCGGACGGGUGAGGAAUACAUCGGAAUCUACUUUUUCGUGGGGGAUAACGUAGGGAAACUUACGCUAAUACCGCAUACGACCUACGGGUGAAAGCAGGGGAUCUUCGGACCUUGCGCGAUUGAAUGAGCCGAUGUCGGAUUAGCUAGUUGGCGGGGUAAAGGCCCACCAAGGCGACGAUCCGUAGCUGGUCUGAGAGGAGGAUCGGCCACACGGGAACUGGGACACGGUCCAGACUCCUACGGGAGGCAGCAGUGGGGAAUAUUGGACAAUGGGCGCAAGCCUGAUCCAGCCAUACCGCGUGGGUGAAGAAGGCCUUCGGGUUGUAAAGCCCUUUUGUUGGGAAAGAAAAGCAGCAGGUUAAUACCCCGCUGUUCUGACGGUACCCAAAGAAUAAGCACCGGCUAACUUCGUG
rnacentral:rRNA from 1 species